UACGUAGGGGGCAAGCGUUGUCCGGAAUCAUUGGGCGUAAAGAGCUCGUAGGCGGCUUGUCACGUCGGAUGUGAAAGCCCGAGGCUUAACCUCGGGUCUGCAUUCGAUACGGGCUAGCUAGAGUGUGGUAGGGGAGAUCGGAAUUCCUGGUGUAGCGGUGAAAUGCGUAGAGAUCCGGAGGAACGACCAGUGGCGAAGGCGAGCACGGCUGGGCCGUACCGUGACAUCUGAUGCGCGACAGCAUGGG
rnacentral:rRNA from 1 species